GCACAGGGACCUGCAGGAGCCAGUGCUCCGCUCUGACCCUGGCCCUCCCCGGUUCAUUCUAGCACCGAAUCUCCGCGGAGGCGUCCUGGAAAACCAGCCCUUCCUUCUUUGUAGGACCGCCGCACAGCGGGCUGCAGGCCGCGGGUAUCGAGCUUGGCUGGGAAGGAUCGAUAUCUGCCCGCUGGACUGAUGUGCGGACGAGGCAGCUCGACUGGGCGGGCUCUGUAGCAGAGCGACAGCUGCGCAGCGUACCCCCCGCACUUCCCCUCCCCCCCCCGCACUCCAGGGGAAACCGAGGCGGGGAAAUGACGCGGAGAUCUAGGGCGCGGCUACGGGCAAUGGCAGUCCCAUGCUCUGAACCACAGCCCUCAGAGUAGGGUUGGAGUAGCCCAGUGUCCUGCCCUGCUCCCCAGCCCCUGUACGUCCCCACCCUCCAGGAUCACCCGCACUUCGAAGCCAGUGCAGCUUGCACCUCUGUUCGUAUUUAGUCCCCUUGCUCCAUCCUUCCCCUUCCUCCCACUACAAAUGUGUGUUUCGUUCUAGCUCCGAGGUUCCUUCAUCAUCCUUUCUCUCCGUGGGUGUCUCUGUGUCUAACCUACUCCAUCUCUAUUUCUCUGCCUGUCUAGGUCCCUCGGUCUACGCUUUGGUCUCUCCUCGCCUCUCGCACAUUUUCGCUUUCUUUGUCUGGCUUCCUCUCUCUCCCUCCUUUCAGCCCCCCUCCGCACACACACCUCACAGCCCUGUUUACGACAUCCCCAGGGCUGGCAGGUGGGCGGGGCUGCAGCAAAGAGGGGGUGAGAGAGGGAGACGCAGCCCCCCCCCCCCCCCCAGCUGUUAACCUUCACGCUUCAGGCCUCUGCGGAUGGCAAAGGAGGGGGAAAGCCCAGCUGCCAGCUUGGCGGAGGUGACUGGGCGGGCGCUGGGAGUGCCCCUCCCUCUGGCUCGUCUCUCAG
rnacentral:lncRNA from 1 species